rnacentral:lncRNA from 1 species
UGUUUACUAUACAUAACAAUAAUUUUUGUUUGUGAUGGAAAAAUUUACAUUACAUUUAAUGUAUUUUAUUGGAGAAAAUCCUUUAAUGCAUAAAUUAUAUCUAUUUUUUUUUAUUGGCAUGUUGGGGCAAGUGCCCAUAAUUAUCAAAUCAAAUAUCUGUGGCAGGUGUCAAUGUUUUUUUGUUUUUACUUUUGUUUUCUUCAGACAUUGGUCUUCUGCAUUUUCUUACCAUGUCUGUUUUGUAUUGCAGUAUGCUACUGGCAAUUUUGGCCUGUAAAUUUUAAAAUGUCAGUUUGUCUUUUGCAUGAAUUCAUUUGAAAAUAUGCC